CCUCCCCUCUCUCCUCUGCUGCUGGGCAGCACCUCUGGGAUGGGAGCCCAUCCUUUCCACAGUACAGGGAACAAAUUGCUCAAGGUGGGAGGAAGCUGUCUUUGUAGGAGUCUUGUCUCUGGGGAUCAUGACCUGUACAAAGGAAAAGGCAUUGGAGUUGGACAAUGGGAAGAAUCUGCUGAAUGCCAAGCAGGCCAUGCAGUCUCACCAGGCACUCCAAGAUGUGGCUGAGCCUGGUUUUUAAGCAGCUUCCAGCAAGUCUUUGAGCUGUCUCUCCAUCCCAGACUCACAGCAGCACUGCAAAGAUGAUGCCUUCUCUGACUGCUCAACCCUGUAGUCAAGAAGAACAGGAAAAAAAAAAGGUAUGAAAAAGGAGAAAAAAAAGGUAAGAAGAAGAUGGAAAGAAGAAGUUGAGAUUUAAAGAGCAUGAUGGCAGGCACCCAAAUUUAUCUUUUUCUGAUGUUUAUGAAAAUAGCUGGACCUAAGAGAGGCCUCAGGUGUGCUGGCACUCUGUUGGGUGCAAAAUGUCUCUCAAAGAGAGGACAAUGCAGGCCAGUGGCUCUGGGUAGGGAUCAUUGCUAAAGAAUACCUCUCUCCUGCACCUCUCCUGAGCAACUCUGUGGCACUGUGGAUCUUCCAAAAUAUGACAAUUGCUGCUUGACCCACCAGCUAAGAAUAAUUUCCAGUGCAGCAGUUUUGGCCCAGCAGUCCUUUCCUCCAGAUUCCCCCUACUGAAAUGUAUGAUUUUAAUGGAGUUUGUGGACAUGUAUAUCUGGAUUAAUCUUCUGUUUCUGUGAAUAAAAUUUACCAAUUCUUAUAAACAAUGUUAUUUGCCCAACUGAGCUGUACGUCAGGCAACUUGAAAUUCAGGUGUCUGUACUUAGAUUGUGCUGAAAGGCACAAUUCCCAGUAGCUGGAAAACCUGUUGUGCCUGCUCAGAGAGGGACCUUUUUCAUCUCAGCCCAGCAAAGAGAGGAAUUUUAAGUCAACCUGGCUUUCCGUCCUCAGUUUGUAAUUCUGUUGCUAAGUGGCAAUGAAAGGAGAUUAUGGGAUCACAGAUUAACAGAAACCUCUAUUCAGUGCUCUUGUGUAAUUAUACAUUUCAGUUAGUUAUUCGAGAACUGAGCUUUAGCUUCUGUGCUCCUGCCUCAGCCUCACCCCUCCAGAGAUUUUAUCCUCAGGGUCUGAUCAGGAUCCUGAUAAACUGGCCUUUCCUUUCCUUUAGCCUCUGCACCCUGGGGGAGCUCUGCCUGCAAGAGUACCCCGAGGGUCUCUGUUCUCUGCUUCCUCCCCUUACAAAUUCCCUAAUUUUUUCUCUUUUCCAAGCUAACAUGUUCCACUCUCCCCAGCAAAAGUGGCAGAGUAGCAUCAAAAAGUGGAGGAAGACACAAGCCUGAGUGGCUGAGGUCAGAAUACUCCUUCCCAGUGAAAAACCUGAAUAAGGCAUCUGAGAAACAAGUGAAGACACUCUGGGACAGCAUCAUGCUCUGCCCUUCCCUUUGGAUUUUGCACUGUGCAUGCAGUGUCCUGGCUCAGUCCCUUCCCUGCCUACCCCACCCUGCUUGCUGACAGGACAAUGUGAGCAGCAAUAAAGGCAUCAACACUU